GUGGCCGCGGCGGCGCGCGCUGCGAGAUAGGAUUGAUUCCCCGCGGCCAGCUGCGCGCAACCCAAGGGAAGAGUCCCUUGCCUCUGCGAGUCUCCGGGAUCGCGCUGGGUUAGUGGCAAGAGGGGCGACCGCCGGUGGGGCGAAGGCCCCAAGGCCCCGGCGGCCUCGAGGUGGCUUGUUUGGGCUAGCGGGGCCUGCCCAGCCCCUCCGCCCCCAGUACCCGGGCUGGAAAUGUGAAUUCAAGGCUGCACCCGCCCUGGUCACCUCUAACUGCCAGGGUGACAGUUCCAAAGACACACGAGCAAACACUGAAACUACGGUUUGGGGCAGUUCCCGUCUUAGCUCAGCGGAAACGAAUCUGACUAGCAUCCAUGAGGACAUAGGUUCGAUCCCUGGCCUCGCUCAUUGGGUUAAGGAUCCUGAGUUGCCAUGAGCUGUGGUGUAGGUCUCGGUCAACGGUUCAGAUCUGGCAUUUCUGCGUUGCUGUGGCUUAGGCCAGCAGCUACAGCUCUGAUUCCACCUCUAGCCUGGGAACCUCCAUAUGUGUCAGAUGUGGCCCUAAAAAGAAAAAAAGAAAAGAAACUACGGUUUUUAUCUGACAUCAAGAGAGCCUUAAUCUUCUCAAGGGAUCAUACUAUGUUAUAAUCUGAAUAAAGGGAUUAAUGAUAUAUUUUGCUAAAUCAGUCAAAGAUAAAAUAAAAGGCAGACUUGCAGAAGAGGACCUAUUCAGGUUUCUGAAUAAUGCCACUGCAUCCAAUAAUGUUUAUUAAAUUUCAGUUACAUAACUGCAUACUUAAUGGAAAGUUUGUUUAGAUUAUAUUAGGUGUAGAUUCACUUGCUUUUUAAAAAUUUACUCCUUAGUCACUGUUUUGGCUCAUCCCAAACUAAAAGAGAAGGAAAUGUUUUGCUAUGUGUUCUUGGAAAACUGGGAGAAAGGUCACACUUAUUGAGUACCUACUAUUUGCACAGCAUCUUACUAAGCACUUCAGUAUAUUAUCCCUUUUAGUAACCAGGACCAAGCUUGAGCCAUGGGGGUUAUUAUACCCAUUUUAGUAACAAAGACUUUGAGAUUUAGAGAAAUUAUGACACACUUAAGGUAACAAAACUAGUGUCUGAAAGAGAAUUUGAACUCUAGUCUCUCUGGCUCUAAUUCCCCUUUUACUUUAAGCCAUGUUGCUGUACUUUAAUAUCUAAGAGGGAAAUGUAAAUGAAGUAACCUAUGUCACUUUUAUCAUUUUAUUAUGAAAAUAUGGAGUUGCUGUUGUGGCUCAGUGGGUUAAGAACCCUACACCGUGUCCAUGAGGAUGCAGGUUCUAUCUCUGGCCUCGGAUGUAACCAAGCAGCCAUGUAGGUCACAUCUGGUGUGGCUGUGGCUAUGGUGUACGUAGCCUGGCAGCUGCAGCUCAGAUUUGACCCCUAGCUUGGGAACCUCCCUCCAUAUGUUGCAGGUAUGGCCAUAAAAAGAAAGAUACAUAGAUAUAGAUAUAGAUAUAAAUUUUUUUGAAGGUAGAGUGGUAAGAGGCAGUUUUAGGACUUCUGUGUUUCAUUUUGUUGUGUUUUGUUGGCCCCACUCUCAGCGUGCAGAAGUUCCCAGGCCAGGGAUCAAACAUGCGCCACAGCUGUAACCAGGGCCAUUGCAGUGGCAACACUGAUCCUUAACCCACUGAGCCAUAGGGGAACUCCUGGAACUUCUCUGUUUUUACAUCUCUCACUAUAGGAUACUUGCCAUCCAUUUGGCACCCAAAAAAACAAUUCUAGGGGGAAGGAUGGAGUGGGAGUGUAGGGUUAGCAGAUGUAAGCUCUUAUGUAUAGAAGGGAUAAAGAAUAAGGUUCUACUGUAUAGCACAGGAAACUAUAUUCAAUAUCUUAUGGUAAACCAUAAUGGAAAAGAAUAUUUUAAAAAGAAUGUAUACAUACAUAUACAUAUAUAUCUGAAUCACUUCGCUGUACAGAAGAAUUUAACACAGCAUUGUAAAUCAACUGUACUUCAAUUAAAAAAAAAUCCUCUUGUUUUAAGAGUUCAUGAUGUCAUAGGUCUUUUGAAUGUUCCCAAGAAUGUUAUAAGAAUGAUGCUCUCAUUUUGUCAUUGCAAGGGGAUCCUGACUGAAUGUAUCACUCUGAACUAUUUCACAAGCAGUCUUUCCCUGCAUGUUAAAUGAUUUCUUUUUGCCAAAAAUAUGUGUUCCCAGAUAUUUAUGGAAUAUUCUGACAUUUGAAUGCCCCCAGGUCUGUGUGGGCUGGCUGCUCUAGGGACAGAUUAAUAGACGAAGGAAAAUUUUGAAAGUGUUUAUACAGUUUUGAGGAAUGAGGUGGUAGGAUCUGUACAUUUUUGUUCUUUUCAUACCAGAUCCCUCACAUUUUUCUUUGAUGAUGUCAAGAAAUAAAAAUUUUCCUUCCU
rnacentral:lncRNA from 1 species